rnacentral:siRNA from 1 species
CGAUCCAUUUGGUUGCAAAGCC